CAUCAUUCACCAUAUCCAAAAUAUAGAAACAACCUGAAUGCCCAUCCACAGAUGGAUGGAUAAGCACAUAUUUAUUUCAGCCUUAGAAAGGAAUUGGGGGCUGACAUAUGCCUCAACCUAAAUAUCCCUUCAAUGCAUUAUCCUGAGUGAAAGAAGCCAGGCACACAAGACAAAUCUCGUAUGCUUAUAGAAGGUACUACAGUUAGGAAAACCAGUGGAGACAGGAAGUUCAGUAGAGGUUACCAGGAGCUGAUCCUGAGAGCAACCCCCAAUAAAAAUCCUGUGUGCAGAUGUCCAUCGGUUUCCCAGGUAACCCAGCUUCCUUCACUCCUUUAACCCUCCUGCGGACCUUAUGAGCAGACGAAUGGACCAAGCGGCUUGUGGAUGCUUCUCUGCUCCUGCAGCCAUGGGGGCCUCGCCAGGAUGCUGGUGCCAUGCUGCUUGGACCCUCCCAUCACUAGAGUUGAAGGCAGAUAAACCUCUGUAAGUUACCAGCCCUGAGUAUUUUCAGCACCACAAAAUGAGCUAAUGCACAAACCCUGGGGAUAUUUCCUACCUAAUGCAUGCCACACGUGGCCAGGACACAUCCAAGGACCUACCAGGAGCCUACAGCAUGGAAGCCCCCUACCCCUCA